rnacentral:rRNA from 1 species
GAAUUCACUAGUGAUUCAGGCCUAACACAUGCAAGUCGAACGAACUCUGGUAUUGAUUGGUGCUUGCAUCAUGAUUUACAUUUGAGUGAGUGGCGAAAAGGUGAGUAACACGUGGGAAACCUGCCCAGAAGCGGGGGAUAACACCUGGAAACAGAUGCUAAUACCGCAUAACAACUUGGACCGCAUGGUCCGAGCUUGAAAGAUGGCUUCGGCUAUCACUUUUGGAUGGUCCCGCGGCGUAUUAGCUAGAUGGUGGGGUAACGGCUCACCAUGGCAAUGAUACGUAGCCGACCUGAGAGGGUAAUCGGCCACAUUGGGACUGAGACACGGCCCAAACUCCUACGGGAGGCAGCAGUAGGGAAUCUUCCACAAUGGACGAAAGUCUGAUGGAGAAGCGCCGCGUGAGUGAAGAAGGGUUUCGGCUCGUAAUAAAAGGUUGUUAAAGAAGAACAUAUCUGAGAGUAACUGUUCAGGUAUUGACGGUAUAACC